rnacentral:rRNA from 1 species
UACGGGGGGAGCAAGCGUUGUUCGGAUUUACUGGGCGUAAAGGGCGCGUAGGCGGCCACCGCAGGUCGACUGUGAAAUCUCCGGGCUUAACCCGGAAAGGUCAGCCGAUACUGCGGGGCUAGAGUGCAGAAGGGGCAACUGGAAUUCUCGGUGUAGCGGUGAAAUGCGUAGAUAUCGAGAGGAACACCUGCGGCGAAGGCGGGUUGCUGGGCUGACACUGACGCUGAGGCGCGAAAGCCAGGGGAGCGAACGGG